UCACGAAAAGGUGGAUUGUACUAGAAGCCUGCAGGCCGACCCGCAAGGGGGGCAGCGGUCCAAGGUAUGAUCCAUGAUUGGGGUG
rnacentral:rRNA from 1 species